AUGCUCGGUGGGCGCCGCGAGUUCCCGGGCGCCGAGUCCAGCGUUCGGCUCUCGGGCUCAAUUACGGCCUUGCCGCUUCCAGCGGCGCCCAACAGCUCACAGCGCACUGGCUGGAAGCCAGGUCCAGCAGUCUCCUCUCCGCCUGCAGCUUCUUUCCAGGCCUCUCCUGUCCGGGCGGGUGAACAGCAGCAGGGGCGGUCGGAGGACGCGCGCGGGAGAAGCGCGGCACCCGGGUCACGGCUUCUCGGUACAGUGUUUGCAAAGCGCCGAGGGCGUUCCGGAGAAGGCGGCGCACUUGUCAGGGCAGGGUCCCAGCGCCGCGCCGCCCGCGGAGAAGGGGCACACAGCCGCCUGGCCGAAGGGCGUGAGGGGCGCGGCGGUGGACACGGGCGCCGCCAGGCCCUGGCCCCGGUUGAGGAAGGCCACCAGGCGCCGCAUCUCGUCCAGGGCCUGCGCCUGCAUGAGGAUGUAGUUCUUGGCGAGCAGCAGCGUGGCGAUCUUGGAGAGCUUGCGCACCGACGGGCUGUGCGCGUAGGGGAUGACUGCCCGCAGCCCGUCCAGCGCGUCGUUCAGGUCGUGCAUGCGCCGCCGCUCGCGCGCGUUGAUGCUGAGCCGCAGAGACCGCUGCUCCCGCGGCCGCCGCCGCGCGUCUCCCGCGCCCCCCGGCCCGCGCCGCCGCCGCCGCUGCUCGAAGGCGUCGUCCUCGUCGCCGCUCUGUUCGCCGCUGCUCUCCGCCGCCGGAGCUGGGGCGCGCGGCGCGGGGACAGCGGGGAGGUCGCCGCCUGGGCCCAGAGCGCCGUAGCCGCGAGCCGAAUUGGGUCCUCGGGCCGCCCCGUAGGCGAGGCCCGCCGCUGCCGCCGAGUAGCCCUGGCUCAGCGCCAGGCCCUCCAGGAUUCUGCUCAGGUGGACGCUGGGGGCUGUUUCACAGGCGCCCACAUGGUGGGGGAGCUGGAGGAACUUGCCACCUCUGCCAUCGAGUGCCCCUCCGAGCUGGGGCUGGAUGCUGCCCGUGUGCACAGCAGCAGGUGA
rnacentral:lncRNA from 1 species